rnacentral:rRNA from 1 species
UACGUAGGGUGCAAGCGGUUGUCCGGAAUUAUUGGGCGUAAAGAGCUCGUAGGCGGUCUGUCGCGGUCGGCUGUGAAACCCGGGGCUCAACCCCGGGCCUGCAGUCGAUACGGGCAGACUAGAGUGUGGUAGGGGAGACUGGAAUUCUGGUGUAGCGGUGAAAUUCGUAGAUAUCGAGAGGAACACCGGUGGCGAAAGGCGGCCUUCUGGACGAGUGACUGACGCUGAGACGCGAAAGCGUGGGGAGCAAACAGG